CUACUAGACUCAUCAGUGAUGAAGCUUCUGGGAUUUAGGUCUACAUGAAUCCCCACCAAGAAAAAUGCCAGUCGACUGAAUGAGCACGAUGGCAGCUCUCUGGCCAAGUCUCAGUUGGGAACUUCCUACAAUUGGCUGAUCUUGCUGCUGCCCCCCCUGUCAUCCGUAAAACCAUGGAGAGGCAUUUUCUUUUCUGCUGGAAUUGGGAUGGGGAAUUUUUUGGUUGUUUUUGUUUUGUUUUCAACCAAAGUGUAUAGUUAAUAAAUUGGCUUUUGGUUUGUUUGUUUUAAUCCAUGUAGAGAGGAAGGUAAUUCAU
rnacentral:lncRNA from 1 species